GGAAGUAAAAGUCGUAACAAGGUUUCCGUAGGUGAACCUGCGGAAGGAUCAUUAAUGAAUAAACUUGUGGGUUGUCGCUGACCUCUUCGGAGGUAUGUGCACAUCUGCAUCGUUUCAUUCUCCCUUCCACCUGUGCACUACUUGUAGAUCGAGCCUCCGCAACUUCAGUCGCGUGUCAUGCGCUUCUGGUAUGAGGAUUGCUUUCCAGCUGUCCUUGAGCGGUGGAUCUGGGUCUACGUCUUUACCAACUCCAUUGUAUGUGAUAGAAUGUCUGUUUUGGGUUCUUUACAGACCCAUAAAACAUUAUACAACUUUCAACAACGGAUCUCUUGGCUCUCGCAUCGAUGAAGAACGCAGCGAAAUGCGAUAAGUAAUGUGAAUUGCAGAAUUCAGUGAAUCAUCGAAUCUUUGAACGCACCUUGCGCUCCUUGGCAUUCCGAGGAGCAUGCCUGUUUGAGUGUCAUUAAAUCCUCAACUCUCACAUCUUCCUUGUGUCGAUUGGGUGUUGGACGUGGAAGCUGCUGGCUUGUCUCAAGUCGGCUCUUCUGAAAUAAAUUAGCAGGGCACCACGCUGUGCAGCUUGGUAUUGAUAGUUGUCUUACCAGGUGGCAGAUAGCAAAUAGGCCCAGCUUCUAGCCGUCUCUUCAGAGACAACACUUGACGAUUUGACCUCAAAUCAGGUAGGACUACCCGCUGAACUUAAGCAUAUCAAUAAGCGGAGG
rnacentral:rRNA from 1 species